GAUAUAUAUGUUAUCUACCGGCUGCGAGGUCCGGAUGAGAAAAACUGUGCCCUAGGUCUUGUAAACGGCCCGAGCCCGAAGGGCGAGGGACGUUUUCAAGACCGAGGGCACAGUUUUUCUCAUCCGGACCGACGCUGCCGGUAAAUAACGUGUUUAUU